rnacentral:RNase_MRP_RNA from 1 species
AGGAUUGCCAUCGAAGUCACACACGAGGAGGCACGUCCUCCUGACAGCCCGUUGGGCUGACUUUGGGGAAAGUCCCCGGACACGUGGCAGAGAGUGCCAGCCGUAACGGCCAACCCUUGCAGCAGAUGCCAUUGGCGAAGACGCCACUGGCUGAGCCGGCGGAUGUUUUGAGGUGUUCGUCGCAGCAAAGUCCAAUGCAAUCAGUGUCUGAAUGCUUGUGUGACCGCGUGUCCACAAUGUUCUGACGCCAACACAACGGGGCUCACUCCGGG